rnacentral:ncRNA from 1 species
CGAACCCGCCGGCUUGGGAGAGCUGAAAGGUUCGGAGAAGACCCGGUCGAGACCGCCUUGGGAGAGGCGCCGCGGACGGGAUUCGUUAAGAGGGGAGAUCGACCGGUGGAGAAUGCGCUUCUCAUCGGAUUGUCGCGGCAGAUGGUGCUGG